rnacentral:rRNA from 1 species
GUGAGGAAUAUUGGACAAUGGAUGGAAAUCUGAUCCAGCCAUGCCGCGUGCAGGAAGACGGCCCUAUGGGUUGUAAACUGCUUUUGUAUGGGAGCAAUAAGGGCUACGUGUAGCCUGAUGAGAGUACCAUACGAAUAAGGACCGGCUAACUCCGUGCCAGCAGCCGCGGUAAUACGGAGGGUCCGAGCGUUAUCCGGAUUUAUUGGGUUUAAAGGGUGCGUAGGCGGUUUUAUAAGUCAGCGGUGAAAUUUUCCGGCUCAACCGGGAUACUGCCGUUGAUACUGUAAGGCUAGGAUAUGGUUGCUGUGGGUGGAAUGUGUGGUGUAGCGGUGAAAUGCUUAGAGAUCACACAGAAUAUCGAUUGCGAAGGCAGCUCACAAAGCCAUUAUUGACGCUGAGGCACGAAAGUGUGGGGAUCAAACAGGAUUAGAAACCCGGGUAGUCC